UGGAUCACCUCCUAACAGGGAGACAACAAAAUGUUUAAUAUUAUUAUUUUGUCACCUUAGGUCGAUCGGUAUCUCACGUUUUUAAUUUAUUAAGAAUUUCAUUUCCUAAGUUUUUCUAGGUCACACCCAUUAUUUUUCCUGGGCCAUUAGCUCAGGUGGUUAGAGCGCACCCCUGAUAAGGGUGAGGUCCCUGGUUCAAGUCCAGGAUGGCCCAUAUCUCUAUGUUGGGGGUAUAGCUCAGUUGGUAGAGCGCCUGCUUUGCAAGCAGGAUGUCAGCGGUUCGAGUCCGCUUACCUCCACUGAUAACCACCUCUUCCAUAAUUUACAGAAAGGAAAAAUUUUGAGAUGUGAUCAAAUUCUGAACGAAUCUAGCUUCCUAAUGAAAUCAUUAAGAUGCUGGACUCAUUGAAUUAAUUUCAUUGUUUUCAGAGAACCUUGACAACUGCAUAGAUUAUUUUUAAAGACAAUAAGCAUCUUUUAAUGAUGCAGAUUUAUUAUUUGUGCGAAUGCAUUAAUAACAAUUCUAUUGAGCUGAUGCUUCAAUUUUUGAAGUUAUUGGUCAAGCUACAAAGGGCUCACGGAGGAUACCUAGGCACACAGAGGCGAUGAAGG
rnacentral:tRNA from 1 species